rnacentral:rRNA from 1 species
UACAGAGGGUGCAAGCGUUGUUCGGAAUUAUUGGGCGUAAAGCGCACGUAGGCGGUUCGUUAAGUCGGAUGUGAAAGCCCUCGGCUCAACUGAGGAAGUGCACCCGAAACUGGCGAGCUUGAGUACGAAAGAGGAUCGCGGAAUUCCCGGUGUAGAGGUGAAAUUCGUAGAUAUCGGGAGGAACACCGGUGGCGAAGGCGGCGAUCUGGGUCGAUACUGACGCUGAGGUGCGAAAGCGUGGGGAGCAACAGG